CGUUGCUUGACAAAUUUUGAAGCGGGCAAGACAGGGCUGUUCAGGAGCCUCGGUGUUCAGACCGGGCGCCACGUCUGAAUUCAGGGGUGCCCGAUUCCUUCGUACAGCAAUUUACGGCGCUACCUUUAACACCAUUCAGCAGCACCUCCCAUGCACCCUACAGCCCUCUUCACCCCAACAUCCUGCUUCUGCUUCCACCACUGCGCAGUGAGGAGCUCAGGAAACACAGGUUCUCUCGAUUUGGAACGCCCAGUCCUUGGGAUGUCCCGGUGUCCACUGAGGAGAGUGAAGUCUACAGCACACAUUCCAGCUUCCAUCCCAAGAGAAAAGCAAGGGCCGGGUUUGAUGAAGAGCUCCCAUUAUGACCCCAACAACAGCAGUCUGGCUCCUCUAACAGGAAAGGACUUUAACCGCGGGACUGGGGGACUGGGGGACUGGGGGGUAGAGGACGUGAAGCUCUGGUCAUAUGUCACUCGGCUAUUUGGGUUAGAGAGCUUUGUGUAUUAUUCUCAAAGCCCCUUAAGUGUGCUCAUGCCACAGUAUUAAUAUUUUGUGCUAUUACUUUCGGGUUACCAUUAAUUCGGCACGGGGUUAUAACAAGUGCAAUAAGAAACUCCCGACCCUCACCCCUUUGAUUCAGCCUUGACCUCUAGUGGCAAUGCCUUGUUACUGCACCUGCUCAGUGACUGAUGCAGGCAGACAGACAGACCGACAAACAAGACAAGCAGCCAGGAAUAGAGACGUACAGGCAAAAGAGCCAGGGUCAGUUUCCUGUGCUGGAACAACAUUCUGAAUAAUCUGGGUUAGUUUAUAUUACUUGGUGUUCAUUGGAGAGCGCCUUAACCUUUUGUCAUUGUGCCUGAUAGUCAAUGAAUAAAUCGUUCAACCUUCUGAAGUAUUUGAGGUCAGGAAAUUUAAACCACACGCAUGUGUGAAACCCAUCUGUUUCCAAACAGCAGUAUAGCUUGGCUUAAUCACUAAAACACAUUCCCCUGAUUGAGUAUUCAGAGCUGAGUCGUGUCUCAGAUAUUUCUGGUGGUUAAUUCAAAGCAGCCACACCAGAGCAUUGAGGGGUUUCGCCAGUCGGUGUGCAUGAGUAGCCUCUUUCUCCGACCCGCGUCCCUCCUGCUGGGAAGUGAGAGAGACGGCCUUUCAUGAAGCGGAGCGCGAGGGAGCCGGCUGCACAGGCUCUUAAGACAGCAUUAUCCUCUUCACCCACUCUUUUGAAAUUUCCUGCUGACAAAUUAUCCGUUCCUCUGCUAUGUUUUUUUUUUCUUCCUUUUUUAACGUCUCUUUUUUCCUCGAAAAUUGCACAGCCAAAAAAGGAAACGUAUUUGAAUUGCUGGGGUGAGGGGAUUGUUCCUGUUUUGUGAGGAGAUGGAGAUUAAGGAUUCUGGCUGUAUUUUUUUUCAGACGGGGAGAUUGAACGCUCCAUUCUUGAGGCUCGGGCUGAGCGGUUGGAGUAAAUGCACUGUGGGGCUCUUUCUUCUGACGAUCGUGGUGGAGAUGUUUAUUUUUUUCCUCAAACUUUGCAUUAGAACGGAGUCACUGACAUGUCUGCGGAGCGCUGGACCCUUGCACUCCACUCCGCCAAACUUUCAUCACUCCCCUACAUUCCUUGAAUACUUGUGCUGCUGCUGAAGAUUGCAAAACCCUGUUUAUUUAGCCUGCUCUCUGUUCCCCUUUACAGUGUUCAGUGUUGUAGCUGUGCAGGCACAUUGCUGUGAAACCACGCAGACAAAUGUUCACAGAGCUGUCACAGAAUAUACAAUAACCAGCUCCAAAUUUCCAUGUUAUUAAUUACGUAUGUAAGGCUGUAUGUCUGUUUAUAAAUGUACUACUAACCGUGAACUCCUGAAUUAAUUUAAAAUAACAAAACCUGUAUAGUUAUUGAGUACAAUGUGUUAAUAGCAUUUUUGAAAGAGAGAGUGCGUAAUUGUGGUUAAAGUCACAUUAGUUAAGGUCUUUGUGUAGUGUGGAAUGUCCUUCAUCUUUUCCCUGUCUUUCAGCCUGAAACAGUGUUGGCUUGCUUGUCCAGUGGAAGUCUCAGGAUGCCUGCUUGCCUCUCUUGAGCGAGGUUGCUGGGCCCCAGGUGCACCCAUGUUGGGCCUGAGAGGGAAGAAAAUAACAAUGCUAAUAGCCUGCAUUAUGAAGACUUUUCUCCCCCUCUCACUGUCCCUAUUGUCCCUGCACUCAAAAGAUGGAGGAGUGCUCAGACUGCCAAAGAGAUGGCAUUCACUGGAGCCUGCUGAGACACUGAGGAAGGGCUCCUUGCAAGUUUUGCCUGCAGCAAAGAGUUACAGUACUUCAGAGGCUUGUCCCCUGCAUGAGCAAGCCUUCAUGAUACUUACCUUCUCCUCUAUAACAGAAGACUGAUUCAUUCCAGGGGAAAUGCCACUAAGCCCUGAAGAAGGCUGCUUUUGAAGCAUUGUCUGAAAGAGUAGUUCUGGAGAUAAUGAUUUGGGAAUGUCUGUUUAUGGGGCCUCUCGAAAAAUGCAAUUCUGUUGUGUUCACAUUUUAGGGAAUUGAAUGUAUGUUAGUUGAUACCUGUUUUGCUCCAUUGGUCAUAUGUGUACAUGCACAACUCUUAAAAGCUGGCGGUACUUUUUAUGUGUGCAUUAUGUAUGCAUAUUAGUAACAGUGAGUGUGUUUUAAUUCCCCUGUGUACUGGGUUCUGAAGAAUGGGCCUUAGCUCUGCAUUUGAAAUUCUUUGCUCAUCGGAUUGCUUACAGGAGAAUGGACAACAAAUGUACAUAUCAGCAGAGAAAUGCAUUUUCUAUUUGAGGUCGAACAGCAGAGCUUUAUGUGAAUCUCAGUGUAUUCUACAUAAACAAUAAUGUAUUCAAGCUGUAUAUUUAAUUUAAUUUAAUUUAAGCCAUGCCCAAUUCUUUAAAAUAAAAUGUUUU